UAAGAGGAAGCGGAAGAUGCACCAUGCCUGGGCACCAUGUGUCUAAAAUCAGUGUUGUCAACUCGGUUUAUAGCAAACAUCCUCACAAAAAUGGCUGUUCUGCUUGGACUUUUUUCUGCUCUCCUAUUUGUGCCUUACAAGGACCUCAAGCUGGCUGUAAACACUAAAAUGAUGACUUCAGUGUGUACGCUGCGCGAUGUAUUUCCAGCUCCUGAGAUACACUGGACCAUCCACUACAACCACUCUGAAUCCUUAGUUGACUCGAAGUAUGUCCACACUAAGACAGAGCAGGACCCUGAAAACUAUCUGUACACCUCCAGCAGCACUCUCCACAUCCCUGCAGGUCCUUACCGAGCCAUUACCUGUCUGUGCCACAACCCCACUUCAAAUACGACUCUGAACGCCACCUAUACUUUAAGCAAAGGUGCAGCAGUAUGGAGUUUACCUGGCUGGUCUGCAGGUCUCAUAGUGGCUGCUGCGGUUCUUCUAACAGCUCUGAUGCAGCUGUAGUUCACACAUGAUGGCUUGGUUUUGGUGGUGGACGACUUCAGCUGGUCUAGGAGUUUCAAAGUACACCAAAGUUUGUGUGACUUUUGAUGUAUUUAUAAGUGUAUUUAUGCCACACUACUCCAGUCUUAUUGCAAGCCUAAAUCAGAGACUUUUGAAAAUGCUGCUUAUCCAGUUUCAGUCUGGCUGGAUGGGAAAACACAGACUGAGUUUCAUGAAUCAGAAAAAUGAAACCAAAAGAUCACACCUAGGAUCAGGUUCCCUGUGUGGUUUCAUCCUUUUCGUGUUGGGUAGUUACUUCAGGAUUUCAGAAAAGGAACAAUUGCGCACACAUGUGGGUUAAAAACCUCGAGUUGGAUAAUAAUAGUUCUGCUGCGGGCAGAAGAUGAAAGGAGUAGAGAUUGUGAAGGUGGAUGAGUUUAAAUGUUUGGGCUCGACCAUCCAAAUAGACAGAGCGCACGAAACGUGAAGAAGAAGGAACAGAGGAAGACCUCAGAGAUUCAUGGAUGUAGUGAAGGAGGACUGGUGACAGAGGAGGGUGCUGGGAGUGAUCUGUUUUGAAAAGCAGCUGAAAACUCCUUUUAAACUUGUUUGUUUUUUAGCACUAUGAUUGUGAAGCAC
ensembl:lncRNA